rnacentral:lncRNA from 1 species
AUGCUGCUGGGAGUGAUUUUGCUGAAUCAGUUACAAUUGUCUCUGACAUUAGUAAAGUCAUUUGGUUUACCUAAACCACUGGCAGAGCUAUACUAUACUCUGACUACAACAAAAACCACAAAGCUGCUGUGUUACAUAUUGGAUCAUCCCAGUCUCCAGCUGACUGCUGCUGUGCUGUUAAAAGAUCAUAAAAUCUGGGAGCCUCUGCUGCCGCUGUGUAUCUGCAUGCCACAAUGCACUGAUAAAAGAAGAAGUCAAACCUGGGUGAGCAGGCGAGUGAGCUGCUCACUUGCCCCUCCUCCUCACUGUUCCCCAUCUGCUUCCUGUCCCCUUUCUAAAAGUGUUCUGCAAGUUGUGCAUGCAUUACAUUUGGAGCUGAAGAAAGACUUCAUUUGGAUGCAAAAGUUCAACUCCUAAAACAUCAUGUAUAGCACAGAGUUCGGGUGAAAGCGCUGUAAAUAGCCUGAAUUGUUUGGUGGGGAAGGGUUUCAGUACAUGGUUUCGUGAGUUUAAUUGGCAUCAUGAAUCCAUGUGAAUACUUGCACCUUGGCCAUGAGCAUAUAUGUAGUUUUGACUCACCUUGAUUGUGCUCAUUUCACAUUUAAAUGUAAUAAAUGAUUUUAAGAAUUUUC